rnacentral:rRNA from 1 species
UACGUAGGGGGCAAGCGUUGUCCGGAUUUAUUGGGCGUAAAGCGCGUGUAGGCGGCCAGAUAGGUCUGCUGUGAAAACUCGAGGCUCAACCUCGAGCUGUCGGCGGAAACCAUCUGGCUAGAGUCCGGAAGAGGAGAGUGGAAUUCCUGGUGUAGCGGUGAAAUGCGCAGAUAUCAGGAAGAACACCUAUGGCGAAGGCAGCUCUCUGGGACGGUACUGACACUGAGAGACGAAAGCUAGGGGAGCAAAUGGG